AACGAACGCUGGCGGCAUGCCUAACACAUGCAAGUCGAACGAGACCUUCGGGUCUAGUGGCGCACGGGUGCGUAACGCGUGGGAACCUGCCCUUAGGUUCGGAAUAACUCCCCGAAAGGGGUGCUAAUACCGGAUAAUGUCUUCGGACCAAAGAUUUAUCGCCUUUGGAUGGGCCCGCGUUGGAUUAGCUAGUUGGUAGGGUAAAAGCCUACCAAGGCGACGAUCCAUAGCUGGGCUGAGAGGAUGAUCAGCCACACUGGGACUGAGACACGGCCCAGACUCCUACGGGAGGCAGCAGUGGGGAAUAUUGGACAAUGGGCGAAAGCCUGAUCCAGCAAUGCCGCGUGAGUGAUGAAGGCCUUAGGGUUGUAAAGCUCUUUUAACCGGGAUGAUAAUGACAGUACCGGGAGAAUAAGCUCCGGCUAACUCCGUG
rnacentral:rRNA from 1 species